rnacentral:rRNA from 1 species
UACGUAGGGCGCAAGCGUUAUCCGGAAUUAUUGGGCGUAAAGAGCUCGUAGGCGGUUUGUCGCGUCUGCCGUGAAAGUCCGGGGCUCAACCCCGGAUCUGCGGUGGGUACGGGCAGACUUGAGUGCAGUAGGGGAGACUGGAAUUCCUGGUGUAGCGGUGGAAUGCGCAGAUAUCAGGAGGAACACCGAUGGCGAAGGCAGAUCUCUGGGCCGUAACUGACGCUGAGGAGCGAAAGCAUGGGGAGCGAACAGG